rnacentral:rRNA from 1 species
GCCUAGCCUUAAACACAAAUAGCAAUCUACCCCGCUUAUUCGCCAGGGUACUACUAGCCCCAGCUUAAAACCCAAAGGACUUGGCGGUGCUUUAGACCCCCCUAGAGGAGCCUGUUCUAGAAUCGAUAAUCCCCGUUUAACCUCACCCUCUCUUGUCACCCCCGCCUAUAUACCACCGUCGUCAGCUUACCCUGUGAAGGUUUAAACAGUAAGCAAAAUUGGCACAGCCCAAAACGUCAGGUCAAGGUGUAGCGUACGAGAGGGGAAGCAAUGGGCUACAUUUGCUGCCACAGUAAAAACGGAUCUUGAAAUGAAACAAGCAUUUGAAGGAGGAUUUAGCAGUAAGCGGGGACUAGAGAGCCCCACUGAAAACGGCCCUGAAGCGCGCACACACCGCCCGUCACUCUCCCCCACAACUAGGCCCUAAUAAAUAAUAAGCCACGUAACAACCAAGGGGAGGCAAGUCGUAACAUGGUAAGUGUACCGGAAGGUGCACUUGGAAAAACC